CUACCACGGAAUUUGGUAAUGACAGUUAGCGUUGACCAAAGAAGACGGUAAUAGAGCUGACUAGUUUGUGGGUUUUGAAAGGCGGUUUGAUGCUGUCAAACGGGACCAAAAAUUACUAUUUUGACAAAAAUCUUAAACGGUUAGUGUUCUGCUGGUUACCAGAGACACCUUGUGGUAGAUGUGAAGAUUGCGUUUCUUAUUUUCAUUCAAGACGAAGUGGAACUUCAAGGGGAAAACUCAAAGAUGAUCUGAAGUUCUUAAAAGUAUUUGACAUGGCUAUGGAAACAGAAUUCUUUGCUGGUAUUCCGAAGAUUCCAUAUGUACCCAACGCUGGAGCUCGAAACGUCUUGUGUUUCCAACACUACAAUGCAGAAGAAGUGCUGCUGGGCAGAAGUAUGGAGGACUGGCUGAGAUUCUCAGUCUGUUACUGGCACUCCUUCUGUGGGACUGGUAAUGAAUGUUCACUAACACACAUU